rnacentral:lncRNA from 1 species
GAGCUUGCUACUUGCACUAGAAGAUGCAAAUCCCUCUGGGCCCGCCCCAUUUACCUGGACCACCAGGAGGUCCACCUCCCUCCAGUUCUGACGCUACCUGCCCUAAGUGUCCCCCCCUCACCUGGUCGAAGAGGUAGACGGUCACGUCCCCGUGGAAGGAGACCAUCUUGCGCUUCCUCUCCAGUUCGCUGUCCUCUGGCUCGUCGGCCGCGCGUGGAGACUUGAGCAGCCCCCGCAGCGGGCGGGCCGUGUCCCCGUCGGCGCUGCUCACCACGACGGGCACUGGGGCUUCCCGCGUCCUCCCGGGUCCCCGAGAGCCCGCUGCCUCCUCGUCCUCCUCGUCCUCGUCCUCGUCCUCCCCGUCCUCCUCCGCUGGCCCCGGCGCCCCCGCCCCGCCGGCCUCCCCGCCAGCUGCCCCUGCGUCCGCGCCCUCCCAAGGUGGCCGCCGCGGGCCCGGGCCCGGGAACGGCGUGAGCGUGAGCGGUGGGAGCGCCAGCGAGAGCCGGGAGAGUUUGGCUGCAAGGGGAGAAGACAGGUGAGCUCCUGCCCGGGACAAUGAGUCAGGCUCUGCCCACAGCUCUAUGCAGAGGGGCUCCCGAGGGCCUUUCUGUGUGCAGAGUGAGAGAUUCCUCCCCACUGCAAGGCAUGAUCUCAGCACUCAGAGCAAGAAGCUUCUUCCUCAGCAUCUGAGCCUCAGGCCCCUUGUUCUCUCCAUUCUGAACCAGGCUCUUUAAGGACUCCCUAUUUUCACACACC